rnacentral:tRNA from 1 species
GCGGGGUUGGUUUAAUGGUAAAAUAUCAGCCUUCCAAGCUGAGGAUACGGGUUCGAUUCCCGUACCCCGCU